rnacentral:rRNA from 1 species
ACUCAAAUGAAUUGACGGGGGCUCACACAAGCGGUGGAGCAUGUUGCUUAAUUCGAGGCAACGCGAAGAACCUUACCUGGGUUUGACAUGGUCGGAUUAACUCGGUGAAAGCCGAGCCACGCCCGCAAGGGUGGAACGAUCACAGGUGCUGCAUGGCUGUCGUCAGCUCGUGCUGUGAAGUGUCGGGUUAAGUCCCUUAACGAGCGCAACCCCUGUCGUUAGUUGCUCACGCGUCAUGGCGAGUACUCUAGCGAGACUGCCGGUGUCAAACCGGAGGAAGGUGGGGAUGACGUCAAGUCCUCAUGGCCCUUACAUCCAGGGUUGCAAACGUGCUACAAUGGCGCGCACAAAGCGACGCGAGGCCGCGAGGCGGAGCAAAUCGCAAAAAUCGCGCCCCAGUUCGGAUUGCAGGCUGCAACUCGCCUGCAUGAAGUCGGAAUCGCUAGUAAUCGCGGAUCAGCUACGCCGCGGUGAAUAAGUUCCUGAGCCUUGUACACACCGCCCGU